rnacentral:rRNA from 1 species
GAAGAGAGAGUUCAAGAGUACGUGAAACUGCUUAGAGGUAAACGGGUGGGCCCUCGAAAUCCUGUGGCGGGAGUAUUCAGUCGGAACGUCGCGUCGUGAAGCUGGGCAGUCCAGAAAGGUUCCCGUGACGGGGCCGGCCCGGCGAACGUUGCGUGGCGAACUGACGCAUUUGUUCCCGCCCGAAGGACGCCGCAUCCGGUUGGGGGACGGCCUGAAAAGCGAGAGUCGGCAGGUGGCCGGCGGCGCGCCUCGUGCGAGUCGUCGGUUGUUAGCCUUCUUGCAGGACGGCUCGUUCCCCGACCGCGUCAAAAGGCCUGUAUGGGCUUGGUCGUCUCCUCCCUAACGUGCGGGUGAAUAAGACUGGCAAGCGCUGAGAGAGGUUCUAUGCACACGGACCGCGAUUCGUGGCACUGACCUCUCCGCCACUGAUGGCCUGUGUCGCGCCCUGCGGGUUGAGAUCGGCGGUUGGCGGCGAGUAGAUCGGUCACCCACCUGACCCGUCUUGAAACACGGACCAAGGAGUUUAGCAUGUGCGCGAGUCAAUGGGUCUCGAAUAAGCCCAGCGGCGAAAUGAAAGUAAAGGCCGGAGGACCGCCGGCCCCUCGGGACCCUGCUCCUUCGCGGGCGGGGCGCACCGAAGACCCGUCGCGUUCCACUUGUGGUUGUGGCGGAGUCCGAGCGCACACGCUAUGACCCGAAAGAUGGUGAACUAUGCCCGGACAGGACGAGGCCAGAGGAAACUCUGGUGGAGGU